UCAUGCUUUCCUUUCCGUUUGCGGCUUGCAUUGUUCGUUUUACACCUAGCGCGGGCUUGUCCGUUUCUUUUCCCCUUGAAAGAAGUUUUCGUUCCAAGAAAUUUACACUGAAAGGAAAUUCCUGGAGAGGAAUCUGAUGUCAGCGGAGGAAGCUUUUAGAUUUUCUUCCUUUCGAAGCAGGACCAGCGGCGAAUGAAUGUAAACUGCAGAGGAAGGACUUAAGUAAGAUCUGAGGACAACACUCCAGAUAGGAUAUGAGGACGAGUGACUCACAGGAGCGGAGGGGAAUGGCCAUCCCCGAAGGUCUUUAGAAAUGAGAGCGAGUUCCAUUUGUCUUUGUGGUUUAAGAGGUUUCAUCUGGAGACAGGAAGAUGAAGUAGAGGCCCCUCGAGAUCUGUGUCAGCUCAGCAAAGGGAGGGGUAAACGAGCUGGAAUAUUUGAGCUAGAAUGUUGCUCAGAUCUGGCCUAACCCCUCAUUUUCCUGUUCAAGUGACUGAAGAAUGUCUGUCUCCUUAAGUGGGUCAUUCAUUAAUGAGCCAAGACACAAACCACAUCUGCCCACAGCUGGGUGCUGCCCUGCCUUGAUCCCUGUCUGGGGGGUGCACUCUGGGGGCACCCCACAGCCCUACCGGAUGGAGUCCAUGCCUUGUGAAGAGGGCUGCAGGAAACCCGCAAGUAGUUGACUGGCUGUUGGCACUAGAGAAAAGCUUCAGCUCCUGCUCAAAAAAUGUUCUGAAAAUGGCCCAGUGGGAGCUAGUGGUCAUCUUAUUCACUCCAGUAUUCUUGCCUGGAGAAUCCCAUGGACAGAGGAGCCUGGCGGGCUACAGACUAUGGACUCGCACAGAAUCAGACAUGACUAUCACUCUAACUAUUCACCCUCCUGGCCCAGCACCUAGAAGAGACCUGGGCAUACCUAUAGGGCCUUCAGUAAACUUCGUUGAAUGAAAAGUAAACAGCAGACAAUCCAAAAGUUAUUCUUCUUUUACCAAACACUUGUUGGCCAGUGCAUUUACCUUUUCAAUUCUGUUUUGCUUAAGCCAGCAACUGAAUCAUUACACGAUGCCCCCAGCAACAGAGAGAGGCGCCCAAAAGUGUGCUGGGGACAAGCGUGAUGAACAAAACAGUUUGGGAUUUGUCUCUCAAUGUGUGCAAUUCUUUUGAAACUGUAUCAAGGGCAGACAUUAUGUUCAUUGAUGUUGACUUGCCUUUUUUGUGUGUUGUAGUUUGUCGUUGUUCCCAGACUGAAAGUAAAGGCUGCAUAUUUCAAAUUUCGGAAAAGCAUGUGGUCUAGUUCUCUAAGCUGCAUUCAGCAAGAUGGCUACAGAGAUUGCCAAAGAAACAAGGCUUGCUCUCAGAAAAUAAUCUGAUUAAGGAGGAGCCAAACAGGAGCCAGUACUGGGCAAUGAGUUUAGAAUACUGAGUGGUGAAGUUUACUUCAUGGGGUGAAUUUCAAUGGACUCAUGCAAAUUAAAGAAAAGCAGCAGAAGAAAACCCUAUGGCGGCUCUCUUGCUUCUUCUUACCUAUUCAUUAAGGAAGCAUUGAGUUCUAGGAGGCACCUGCCCAGCUCUUUAUUUUCCCUGCAACCAGCGCGCUAAAUCUGGAGCUCUGAUGAGGAGAAGAGCCUCUGCGGUCAUGUAGGGUGACCAGGCUUAGGAAAUGAUUUCACUUUGUUCAGGUCUGAGAUUAGUUUCGGUUUCAGGCUGUACCAGGAGCUGAGAGAGAGAGCGUGAGCUAGAGCCAGCGAGAGGAGGAGGAGGCUGCUGGGAGAGCCUCACCAUUGGCUGUCCCGAGUGGCAAGGUGGGCGGGCAGGGAACUCCUGCGCAGAGCAGGGAGCGGAGGAAGAUGAAUCAGAGAUACAGUCAGGGGAGGCAGCCAUUGAGCAUCUCUGUGUCUAUGGACUGGGCAGCAGCCUAGGAUGGUAUCAGCAGGUGUGCGUAGGGCAAAACCCCGCAGUUACAGGACUUCUGAGCCGGGGCUGCGAGGUCGUAGGGAAGCUGUAAAACACAGAUUACCUGGAUGAAGUGGGUUUUGCAUGAGCAGGUGCCAAGCUAGGCGGAAAGCCAGGGGUCAGUGUGAAACAACCCCCCCCCCCCCAACAUCUUAUAACCGUAUCCUUACAACUUGCGUCCUCUUGCAUUUGAGUUUCCUUAAAAAAAAAAAAA